AAAAAUAAAAAUAUCCCAGUAGUGUAGGUAAUAAAGCUGGGGAAACAAACUCGGAAGUGCAUUUUACAAUGGAAUUUGAUUGUGAUAAUUUUUCAUGUGUUAAAAAAGGAGCACGCUGGCUUUCUCUGGGAACUGUUUGGGUUUAUGCUUUGUUGGGAUUUUGGUUUUUUCCAUCCCCAGCUUGUAGUCAUGUGGAAGAUUUAUUUCAUUAUUUAUUUUAAUUUUUUUUCCACAGAGAAGCAUCUCUGCAUUUAUUAGCUGAGUUCAUUGAAAAGCUGUAUUUUGUAAUUUAAUGAGGCUGGAAGUUGCACAGGUAACAGCUGAAACAAAAACUCCUGGCAGUGUGAAUUCCCAUUUUGGAAGUGCACCUCCCUGCAAGCCUGCUGUAAACAUCUACAAAAAAAUACUGCAGAACGUUAUAAAAGAGAAGAUUACCAAGUUGGAGGGUCAGAUGGGUAGAAAAUUACGAGCUGCUCGUCCGUGUGCUCAGCCUUCGCCUGCGAUUGCAUCUGCUGCAGGUGAGGCCAAUAAUUGUGGGAGCCCUGUAAUAGCUGCCAGGGAGGGAAUUAGUUCUGAUGGAUGGUAAAUACUUUGCCAGUCAUUUUGACAUUAUUUUCAAAAUUCUGGGUCAAUUAAUACUUCUUGAAUGGAUCAGAAAAAAGAGGCACAAAGCUGGAGUUGUUUAUUUUGUGUAUGUCUCUGUAUAUAUUGUAGGAUAUGGAGAGCUGGGUUUUGUUCAUUUUCUUUAGCAAGGAAAUGAGCUGGGUUCUGUGUCCCCAGUCCAGAGAAGGGCUGGAGCUGCUGCUGGGGCCUGGCUGUGCCUGUGGCUCUCCUCCUGCUCCUCAGGGCUGAAUUCCAGCGGUGCCCAGAGCCAGCAGAGCCCUGUGCUCAGCCACAGCCUGGAGCAGCUGUGGGCAGGAUGCUCCUGGAGCCCUCUGAGCCACUCCAGGAGAGGGAGAGCAGCAGCUCUGGCUCUGUUCUCACACCCUCCAAGCCCACAGCCGAGGGGGUCUGGCUCCUCUGCUGGCUCUUUUCCCACGUUU
rnacentral:lncRNA from 1 species